UCGACAUGCUGUGGAUUUGUUGGAAGGAGUUUUGCUGUUGCAGUUGGAUUUUGAAUUUUCGCUUGCCCUCACCUUGUUCCACUGACGUCAUGGAUCGUUCAAAGACGUUUCCCCCAGUAUGGAAUAAUUUUGAUCUUUUGACGCCAAAAGGUAAGGUGAAGUGUCGGCUCUGCUCCACAGAGCUAGCUUACAUCAAUAAGAGCACUUCAUCAAUGCUGAGGCAUUAUACAGCUCGGCAUGGCAAUGAAGAAUUGGCAGUUACCCGUGUUUCCUAACAAGCAAGCAGUGGAUGAGGCUGUGGUCAACAUAAUCAAAGACCGUCAGCCACUUACCAUUGUUGAAAAUGAGGGAUUAAGGGAGCUCCUGAAGCUCAUCAACUUGCACUUCAAUUUUUAUGCUUACCAUCUUCAUCUGUACCCUGUGAAAGAGUUUUUUCUAAGCCAGGGGAACUGGUGUCUAAGAGGAGAAAUCGCCUUGGAGCAAAGACACUUCAAAAACAUUUGUUCCUCAAUAAAAAUGCAUAAAUGAA